UUGAACCCAGGCUGUCUCUGCAAACCCUUGCACACACUGCCUCCUGACUGCGUCUCUUUGUUUCUUUGUGUGUCUCUCCAGUCAGAGACACUUGACUAUUUCCCCUAAUUCCUGCUCUUGGAACAGAUGAUUUCCAAGAUCCCUUCAAGUAUUGAAAUUCCAUGACUGAUUAAAGUUUGUAAUUUAUGCAAUUUGAUUAAUUUGCACCAACGCCUAAGUUCAUUUAUUACAUUAAUUCUUUUACUGAAGACUCCAACUGCUUUUUAGUUUACUUACAGAUCUCAUGAUGUUCAGGGAAUCUUGAUGCCUUUCCAAGAAUAAUAUUUAAAACCUGAAUUUUAAAAUUUAAGGUUUAAAAACAUAUCUGAAAGGAUUUUUACCAUGCACAAAAUUUAUCAAUUUUCCAUGUGGACCAAAAUAGUUCUUUUAAGCCCCUGUUCUCUUGGUUGUCUUUCCUUAGCCUCACAGAUGCAGUGCUAAUUGCUUGCAGCUUCGGGUCUGUUUCAACAUGAGGUAACAAUUUCGGCGUCUUGGGGUCGAGCGCUGCAUUUGUUAGACAUGCCAGGUCUGCGAUGGUUGUUGGCACGUCAGGAUGCCGAAUCCACGUGGAGCUCAACUCCUCUGAAUGGGGGGGGGGGCUUCCUGAGAACUUCCUGUUGUGCUCCUCUGAACCCCAGAGCACCUGUGUGGUUCCACUGCCAGUGCACCUCUUGGUCAACCUGGCACCUUGGUGGGAUGGCCCUUGCGGACAGGUGCAGGCAUUUGAAUCCUCCUAGUCAAGCUGUGGUUUUUGAAGAAUGGUUCCAGAACUCGCAUUUAUUCACAGACCUACCAGUUGGGCUGGUCCCAGUGACCAAGUUGCUCUUAGCAGCUAAAAUUCAUUCUGACUGGAUGGAGAAGACAAAGAAGGCCAAAAAGAAGGGAAAUUCAAAAAAAAAAAAAAAAAAGUGUGUGGGGAUUCUGCAACCACAUCUGUAAUUAGGGAGCCAUAGGACUAACUGUGGAGAAUGGCUGGACCUCGUCUGGCUUUGCGCCUUGUCUGUAGUUCUGGUCAUCAGGGUCAGAAAAGCCUGGUUUCCAACAAAGCUCUGCUAUGAAAGGCUGUGCAGUACAGAGGAUGGCAUUCGAACCCUUAGCUUCGGUUUCCUCAUCUGUAAAUGGAGAUGGUGGCAUCUCCCCCACAGGCGUGUUGUGAGGACCACAUGUUGAUGCCAAAACGCCCAGGUCCAACACGCGGUCAGCAGCUGGUGAUGUUGUUUUUACUCCCUUCUCCCCUCCCCACCAUGGGCCACACUCCUCGAAAAAUAAGGUUCUUGCUAACUAGUGGUUUAGGAGCACUUGCGCGGCGUGCACCGUAUGUGUGCUAGCUGAGGUUUCAAUAAGCCUAAUGUUGAAAUCUUGCUUGAAAUAUACUUAGGGAAAUACCAAAAGGUACUCCAGAGCAGGUUGCUUUAUAGAGAUAAUAAUACUUUCCUGAAUCCUUUUAAUUUAGGCUUUUUAUAUAUCAUAUUUUCAUGAAAUGAGACAACCUCCUCCCACCACAGCUCCUUAGGGGAGCAAUAGCAAGGAGCAGACAGUGUUUGCUUCCUGGAGAUGCUCACGCACCCUCCUUCCUGGGUUUCUCCAAAAGGCCAGCUCAUUUAGCACAGCUGUCGGGUGCUUGCUCCCCUUCCCCUGGGAUGAGGGGUCCGCCCAGGUCCCUACAGCAGGCUAAGACUUGAGUUAACAGGUUAAAAUUGAAGAGUCAUGAUGGGUCUGUGUCAGAGAACCAGCAGUGUGGAAGGGACUUUCCCCAGGGAGCUGCCUGGGGCCACCUUGGAGAGGCUGGUCCUUACCUUGCCCCAGAGAUCCUAUGCCAAGCACCUCCGUGCAGAGCAUUAGAAUCAUACCUGGCCCACAGGAAGCAAUGCAUGUCAACCAUGAUUACUAAUGUUACUAUUAUUAUUGUAGUACUUGUUGCAAGACGCUCUGGGAUUUGUCUCGGGUUGUCUUUUGAAAAGGUUCUUCCAUCCUACAGAAUCAAGGGGUGGAUUUUAGGACCCGUAGCUGUACGGCCAAUGGAAAAGCAAUAUGACAGCCUCAGGAUUGAUUCCUCCAAUCGUGUCAGACCCUCUAUGCCCUCCUUAUGCUCCCUAAAUAGCCAACCAGCUGAGCUCUGGCUGGGUCCUUCCGAUUUACCUGGGCCAUUGCAGUCUCCUGAAUCCUGCCGAAGCAAUGAACACCUCAUUGGUAUUCAUCGGAUGGGCUGAUGGAAAUGGAAUGUAGCCAGACUGCUAAGCCCGCGCCGUCCUGAAUUGAGGUCUCAGAAAUCUGAUUCUGAGAACGUACAUCUUGCAUUACAAUCUAGAUUUCCAGAGUAAAGUUUUGGACGGAAUAACCUAGACCUAGCUCUGGGUAAGUUAAGGCCUGGGUGAAAUGAGGCAGAAAGAGCCCAGGAUAUACAAAUCUGAGUCUUGGCUGGGGAGGUGCAGAAGAUUUGAGGUGCAAGACAGCUGGCUUCCCUCCAAGUGUUUACCACCCUGGUGCCCUGGGGCUGUGGGCAGGCCGGUGCUUAUUUGCCCCUCCCACCUUCCUCUCUCUUCCCCCUCCUCCGCAUAUUUUCCACAGGCUAAAGAAACUCAGGCACCUAUGGACCCAGAGGGAAAGUAAUGGGGCAAAUGAGACCAGGGGAUUGGACUUUGCUCUGGUUGAGGAUACCAUGGGUUUACAGUGGAUGAUCUCUCUGACUGUUAAAUGUAAGAGCUGGCCUUGGACUUUGAAUCCCAGUGCUCACCCUCCUCUGUCUGGGUGUGGACCUCCUUCCCUAGAAGCUUUGGUCUCCAGGAGAGAGGAUGGCAUGAGGCCUGGUCUUGUAUCUCUAGGAAACAGGAAGAUGGUGGCAACCAAGAAUUGAAACCGGCCAGUGACAACAGGGCUGCUGUUUCUUCCCUGCCCCAUCCCUCCCCCAACCCCCCUCAUCCUAUGGUGCCCAGGCUGCUGUACUAUGUGGAUCCCACAGACCUUGCCAUGGGCCUUCUUAGAGACCUCUGAUGCAUGUGGCCGGGGGUCUCUUUGGUGGACACGUCUCUGAGUUCACCUCCCAGAGGAGAAAGUAUAUGCCAAUGAGACCAACUGUGGCUCUUAACUGAUGUGCCUGCUCCUCAGACAAUAACUGUUGUUCAUUCUGGGACUCCUUUCUCUUCUUGCAUUAUGACACAUGGAGUCCUGAGCCCAACCUAGCCUCUGGAACAGAAGAAUAUGUGCUUGCAGGUGCUUUCUGAAGAAAGUAUUCAGAAACACAGACAACUGUGUAUCAAACUGGAGGAAUUACUUUGAUAAGGAGAGGAAGAAACUGGCCCCUCCACACGUAAGCUUCCCCUGCCUUUGCCUUGAGGGUGUGGUUGCCAGGUAAGUAUGUGGUAAGAGGCUCCACGCUGUUUCCCACCCCAGUUUUAUUGAUUCAGCCACCCUGUGGAUGCUGGAAACUCAUUUUCCCAAGUGCAUUAUUUUUCUUGUUUAUUUCUCUUGUAUACAUGUAUUCUUCCAGCAGCCUGCCUGGCUUUAUUAAAAGAUAUUUAUGUUUUCUGAUCACUUCUUCUUCCUUCUGUUCCUUCCAGGAAUGGAAAAUCAAUCUGAGUGUCAUUAAGAGGAUAUUCCCCGAAGAAGAUUGCUGGUGACAGUGGAUUUCUCACCCAACUUACUUUCUUUCACUGAGCAAUUGGAAUUUCCUCCACAGAGGGGUGAGACCCUGUGUUAUUACACUGUCUGAAUUCAGGCAGGCCUUUUAUGGAUACGCCAAGUCCUCAUUCCAUUGUCUCAUUGUCAGCGGCUGAUCUGAUCUCUACACUGAUUAAUUAGUUUCAAAUCCCUUCAUAUUGAUCUAAUAAAAUCGGCUUGUUUAAUUCA